rnacentral:lncRNA from 1 species
UGAAGUCAGGGAGAGUUAGGCCUCCUGCUUGCUUUUUGUUCCUCAGGAUUGCUUUGGCAAGUCUGGGUCCUUUGUGGUUCCAUCUAACCAGUUCUGCGUUAUGUGGUUCCAUAUAAAAUUUUGGCUGGUUUGUUCUAGUUCUGGCAUGGGUCAUUUGAUAGGGAUUGCAUCGAAUCUGUAGAUGGCUUUGGGCAGUAUGGCCGUUUUUACAGUAUUAAUUUUUCCAGCCCAGGAGCAUGGAAUAGCUUUCCAUUUCUUUGAAUCCUCUUUCAUUUCCUUGAUGAAUGUUUUCUAGUUCUCAGCCCAUAAGUCUUUCACCUCCUUGGUCAGGUUUAUUCCCAGGCUAGGGGUUGAAUCAGAGCUCCAGCUGCCGGCCUACACCGCAGUCACAGCAACGUGGGAUCUGAGCUGCAUCUUUGACCUACACCACAGCUCAUGGCAACACCGGACCCUUAACCCACUGAGCAAGGCCAGGGAUCGAACCCGCAACCUCAUGGUUCCUAGUCAGAUUCGUUAACCACUGCGCCACGACGGGAACUCCACGACACCGUUUUAUUGAAGGGACUUGAGCACCUGCAGGUUUGGGUAUUCCUGGAGGGCUCCCAGAAUCAAUUCCCUGAGGAUGCUGGCCGAGGGCCGCGAAUGUUCAUUGAACAAAUGCGGGAUGAACAGAGUUGAAGUCAGCAAGUGCUUGUCGGUGUUUUCACAGCUCUCAAAAGCAGGUGGCAGCUGGCUGAGGAGGGACUUAGACAUACAGGAGGGGGACUGCCCCCCGCAGCACCAUCUCUCCUUGGCAUUGCGUAGCUUUCCUCAAUCCUUAGAUGCCCAGAGUCCAUCCUUCCAUCCCUCUUAGGCCUGUUGCUGCCCGCCGUGCCCGACUCCUACACGUGGCUCCCAUCACACGGGUGUCAUAAAGGUGACAGCUGCCAGUCAAAGUAUUCCGUUUAUAAGUAUCACUAGAUCAGGGGUAUAUCAAGCACCAACUAGCCUUUUUAUGAGACGGCCUGAGAAUCUGAUUAAAUAAAAUGCUCUUUCUUUCUGCAAGAUCAUGGGUUUUAAUUCCAACCAACUGACUCAGUAGGCAAGAGGUGUGUUUAAACCUUCAGGAGUUGGGAAGUCUUUUUGUUUAGCAGGGCCAGGGUGCUGCUGGCCCUCCAGUUGUGGAGAUAAGAUUUGCCCAGGAGGAAUUAGAGGAGGCUUUGAGGAUAUUUAAAUCUUCUGUGUACAUCUGACUGCUUUUAUUUUGCUCCGUUUAAAGAGAUUUUGCAAAUAAAGAGGGGUGGGAGUUUCUGUUCUGAGAUCUACUUGCUUUAUGCUUUUAACUUAGAGGCCGCCAGUAAAUCUUUGAAGAAGGAUCGCCUUGGAGUUCCCUGGUGGCUCACUGGGUUAAGGGUCAGUGUUGUCACUGCUGUGGCUCGGAUUCUGUCCCUGGCCCCACAACGUCCGCAUGCCGUGGGUUUGGCCCCCAAAAAGGCAUCAUCUUGAUUAGGAAGAAUUAGGACAGCAAAUACAGAAGGCAUCAUCGCAGGGUUUUGAAGCCUCCUAUGAAAGAUUGGACAUGAUAAUAUAGUUAAGCAAAAAGUAACGUGUAGCCCCUCCCCACCCCCGCUUUUAAAAGUUCCUUGCAGCCAUUUGUAACCGAAUGAGUCUGUGGUUAUGUGAUAACCACACAGAGGUGACAAAUUGCCAAGUUCUAGUAAAAGAUACCCAGUUAUUUAAAGGUUGACAUGUAAAUAUGUCCCUUUUGGAAAUAUUCUAAGCGGUUGUUUGCCUUCCAUGCAUAUUUAAAUGUAUACUUACAGUGAAGUAAUCUGGCUUGUAAAAUACGGGGUUGCAGGAUCCAAUGACAAAUCUAGAUGAUCUGAAAUCAAGGUGUCCUCUGUUACCCAUAUGUUAAAUGAGAUUUUUUUUUUUUUUUUUUUUUUAACCAGAAGAAUUCCAAGAAGCAUUUUCAGGCAUUGUUCUUUUUUCUCCCAUCUUUUUAGGGUGCACCUUCAGCACAUGGAGGUUCCCAGGCUAGGGGUCGAAUCAGAGCUGUAGCUACCGGCCCACACCACAGCCACAGCACAGCAAUGCAAGACCUGAGCUGCGUCUGCGACCUACACCACAGCUCACGGCAACACCGGAUCCUUAACCCACGGAGCGAGGCCAGGGAUCGAACCUGCGCCCUCGUGGUUCCUAGUCAGAUUCAUUUCUGCUGAGCCACGACGGGAACUGGACCUGUUGCCACCUAUUCAGGGCCGUCAUCCCACUUUGGCUCAUUUUACGGGACAGCUUGCUAAGUGGGUUAGUGUCUUACUUAUUCACCAUCUGCUUCCUUUCUGGUUUCCUAAGCGUGUGUGGGAGCAGGGGUUCACGUGAAGGAUGUCAGAAGGAAGGCUGUUUGGAGAAGCUGGGCAUUUGGUUUAAACAGAGGCAUCUCGUGGUGUGUGGAACUUAUCUGCAAUAUAAGCAAAAAGGCAGUUGAGGGCAUCCGUGGAUUUUUGGAUUGGGCAGGCGGAGUAUUUUGCUUGAGUAUCGGGACCACUUUUUUGGUUUUGGCCGCUUUGAAACACGUGGCAGAAUCUAGGCGAGGGGACUUCUGCUGGCCUCUCUGCAAGAGCCUCCUAAUGGUCGCAGCAAGCAGCCCAAAGCACGGGGAAGUUAGACAGCAGCCUUCGGGCUCUCCUCGCCUUAGACAACCUCACUUGUGGAGAGCAUUUUCCAGAAGGGAAGACAGGCUGUUGCUGUGGGUCUCAGAUCGGAGCAAUACACCUGAUCCUUCCAUUCAGGGAGGAGUCCCGAGUAGGUAAACUAACAAACAAACAAACAACGCACCAAGUUCACUUGUGCAAAAAUAUCGAUGGCGAGAGCUUGGUAGGGAAAAAAUACGGGGCAUAAAGAGAAAGGCAGCAGAGCAUUUAAAGGCGUGUGGGGCUGAUGCCCCUCGAGAGCAAAGACGGGCAUAGACGGGGUUAAGCCUGUGUGGGUGAUGAGCGAUGGCAGAAGAACCUGGGGGUGGACGUGUUGGGGUCCCAGCCGGAGGAAGAAGGUUCUGGACCCAGGAAGGAGGUAGGGUCAGGGUGCCUGCAUCACCUAAUGAUGGGGGGGGAUGGGGGAUAGAUGUCUCAUCGUGGGGGGUGGGGGGCUGCCCAGCCCCCGCUGGAACAGCCUGGAAACCAAAGAUUGCAACCGCCAGCCAGUGCAGGGACAGGAAGUCCAGAUGGAGCCCUGGUGUGUCGAACCGAAAGAGGAAGGUCCCUCUCCUGGUGGAGGGUGACAGCGGCUGGCGACAGGAGGAAGGCUUAAGCGGAAAGCCCUCCAUGCGGAGCGGCAGGAAUCCUUUCCAGGUCCUGGCUUCGGGUGUGAAUGUGGCGUGAAGAGGAUCCAGCGCGACGGAGCCUUGUAAAUCACCUCUAGUGCCAUGGAAUAAAGUCUCUGAAGAAGUAUCGAGCAGGAGAGCAACGUACGAAGAGAAAAUCGGGUAUUUCCCUGCACUCUGGAAAGGAGAAAUUAUUGAUUUUUUUUCCCUGCCGCAGUCUCUUUACUUAGAUGAAUCUCCUGCAGUUCGCUUUUAGUGGCUCGGUCAGAAGUCUAAGUGAAAGUGAAUAUUUAACCACGUUCAAGGACGACUGAUAAUCUUUCCUGCUAAUAGAGGCGCAAGACUCAAGAGAAAGAAGAAUCUAG